rnacentral:rRNA from 1 species
CGCGUAGGUGGUCCUUCAAGUCAGAUGUUAAAUUUCUCGGCUUAACUGGGAAUGGUCAUCUGAUACUGCUGGACUUGAGGGUGGUAGAGGGAGGUGGAAUUCCCGGUGUAGUGGUGAAAUGCGUAGAUAUCGGGAGGAACACCAGUGGCGAAAGCGGCCUCCUAGGCCAUUCCUGACACUGAGGCGCGAAAGCGUGGGGAGCGAACAGGAUCAGAUACCCUGGUAGUCCACGCCCUAAACUGUGGAAACUAGGUACAGGGAGUAUCGACCCUUCCUGCGCCGUAGCUAACGCGUUAAGUUUCCCGCCUGGGACUACGGUCGCAAGACUAAA